UGGGGAAUUUUGGACAAUUGGGCGAAAGCCUGAUCCAGCAAUGCCGCGUGUGUGAAGAAGGCCUUCGGGUUGUAAAGCACUUUUGUCCGGAAAGAAAUCCUUGGCUCUAAUACAGUCGGGGGAUGACGGUACCGGAAGAAUAAGCACCGGCUAACUACGUGCCAGCAGCCGCGGUAAUACGUAGGGUGCAAGCGUUAAUCGGAAUUACUGGGCGUAAAGCGUGCGCAGGCGGUUUGCUAAGACCGAUGUGAAAUCCCCGGGCUCAACCUGGGAACUGCAUUGGUGACUGGCAGGCUAGAGUAUGGCAGAGGGGGGUAGAAUUCCACGUGUAGCAGUGAAAUGCGUAGAGAUGUGGAGGAAUACCGAUGGCGAAGGCAGCCCCCUGGGCCAAUACUGACGCUCAUGCACGAAAGCGUGGGGAGCAAACAGGAUUAGAUACCCUGGUAGUCCACGCCCUAAACGAUGUCAACUAGUUGUUGGGGAUUCAUUUCCUUAGUAACGUAGCUAACGCGUGAAGUUGACCGCCUGGGGAGUAC
rnacentral:rRNA from 1 species